GACGAACGCUGGCGGCGUGCUUAACACAUGCAAGUCGAACGGAAAGGCCCUGCUUUUGUGGGGUGCUCGAGUGGCGAACGGGUGAGUAACACGUGAGUAACCUGCCCUUGACUUUGGGAUAACUUCAGGAAACUGGGGCUAAUACCGGAUAGGAGCUCCUGCUGCAUGGUGGGGGUUGGAAAGUUUCGGCGGUUGGGGAUGGACUCGCGGCUUAUCAGCUUGUUGGUGGGGUAGUGGCUUACCAAGGCGUUGACGGGUAGCCGGCCUGAGAGGGUGACCGGCCACAUUGGGACUGAGAUACGGCCCAGACUCCUACGGGAGGCAGCAGUGGGGAAUAUUGCACAAUGGGCGGAAGCCUGAUGCAGCAACGCCGCGUGAGGGAUGACGGCCUUCGGGUUGUAAACCGCUUUCGCCUGUGACGAAGCGUGAGUGACGGUAAUGGGUAAAGAAGCACCGGCUAACUACGUG
rnacentral:rRNA from 1 species